rnacentral:lncRNA from 1 species
UCCUCCGUGAUGAUCAUUCGAUCAGGAGCAUUUAAAAAUUAACCACUAAUGAUGUAUGUCUCAAAUUUUCAAUACUUUGAGAAUAUACAAAAUUAUUUUUGUUAAUUUGUAAGAUAAAUCAUGAAUACAGAAAUAUGAUUGAUGAUUAAGACUGCCCAACAAGUACAAAACAUGCCCUAGAGAAAAGUAUAUGUCAGCCA